rnacentral:rRNA from 1 species
AUGAAGUCGGAAUUGCUAGUAAUCGUAGGUCAGCAUACUACGGUGAAUACGUUCCCGGGCCUUGUACACACCGCCCGUCAAACCAUGAGAGUUGGCAACACCCGAAGUCGGUAGUCUAACCGCAAGGAGGACGCCGCCGAAGGUGGGGUUGAUGAUUAGGGUUAAGUCGUAACAAGGUAAC